AUAGGUGGCAAGCGUUGUCCGGGAAUUAUUGGGGCGUAAAGCGCGCGCAGGCGGUUCUUUAAGUCUGAUGUGAAAGCCCACGGGCUCAACCGUGGAGGGUCAUUGGAAACUGGAGAACUUGAGUACAGAAGAGGAAAGCGGAAUUCCACGUGUAGCGGUGAAAUGCGUAGAGAUGUGGAGGAACACCAGUGGCGAAGGCGGCAUUCUGGUCUGUAACUGACGCUGAGGCGCGAAAGCGUGGGGAGCAAACAGGAUUAGAUACCCUGGUAGUCCACGCCGUAAACGAUGAGUGCUAAGUGUUAGGGGGUUUCCGCCCCUUAGUGCUGCAGCUAACGCAUUAAGCACUCCGCCUGGGGAGUACGGCCGCAAAGGCUG
rnacentral:rRNA from 1 species